AUAUUUCUUUUCUUUUCCAGGCCCCACACACACGUUUUUCUCUAUCUCGCUACUCUCUCGGCCGACUCUCUCUCUCUCACCUCUCCUCCAAACUUCUCUCUUCGAUUUCAUCACAUUAGAAUGAGAUUUUGGAAAAAUCCCAAGUACUAAAGCCGUUCUACGCGACAAGAGCUUCCUCUCCAUCCGAGAAAAUUCAUGAUCGGAGCACUUCGAAGUUUCCUCCAUGUUCGGGCAUGCUUCUAACCUUCGAGGUACUCGUCUUGACACUUAGCUUGGAUUGCAUGGAGUGCACAUUGAGACGUUUCUUGAGGGCUUCAUUGGAAUCAUUAAGGAGUUGUUUAUCAUCUAGCCCAAUUCAUGUUGUGUACUUUACCCGCAAUUGAAGGUUGUACUUUUUGGUUAGAACAUAUGUAAAGCUAUUUAUAAACUCCUCUCCUUGAUUAUUGUGAAGCCCUUUUAAUAGAAAACGUUUGGGAGACUUUACGUAACAAAAAAAAAAAAUUAGAGAAGAAGAAGAAGAGACCUUGAUUA